rnacentral:rRNA from 1 species
AGUGAACGCUGGCGGUAGGCCUAACACAUGCAAGUCGAACGGCAGCACAGUAAGAGCUUGCUCUUACGGGUGGCGAGUGGCGGACGGGUGAGGAAUACAUCGGAAUCUACUUUUUCGUGGGUGAUAACGGAGGGAAACUUACGCUAAUACCGCAUACGACCUACGGGUGAAAGCAGGGGAUCUUCGGACCUUGCGCGAUUGAAUGAGCCGAUGUCGGAUUAGCUAGUUGGCGGGGUAAAGGCCCACCAAGGCGACGAUCCGUAGCUGGUCUGAGAGGAUGAUCAGCCACACUGGAACUGAGACACGGUCCAGACUCCUACGGGAGGCAGCAGUGGGGAAUAUUGGACAAUGGGCGCAAGCCUGAUCCAGCCAUACCGCGUGGGUGAAGAAGGCCUUCGGGUUGUAAAGCCCUUUUGUUGGGAAAGAAAAGCAGCAGGUUAAUACCCCGCUGUUCUGACGGUACCCAAAGAAUAAGCACCGGCUAACUUCGUG